rnacentral:rRNA from 1 species
ACGGGAGGCAGCAGUGGGGAAUAUUGGACAAUGGGGGAAACCCUGAUCCAGCGACGCCGCGUGAGUGAAGAAGUAUUUCGGUAUGUAAAGCUCUAUCAGCAAGGAAGAAAAUGACGGUACUUGACUAAGAAGCUCCGGCUAAAUACGUGCCAGCAGCCGCGGUAAUACGUAUGGAGCAAGCGUUAUCCGGAUUUACUGGGUGUAAAGGGAGCGUAGACGGCAAAGCAAGUCUGAAGUGAAAUCCCGGGGCUCAACCCCGGAACUGCUUUGGAAACUGUUUAGCUAGAGUGCAGGAGAGGUAAGCGGAAUUCCUAGUGUAGCGGUGAAAUGCAUAGAUAUGACGAAGAACACCGAUUGCGUAGGCAGCAGACCAGGCCGUAAAUGACGCUCAUGCACGAAAGUGCGGGGAUCGAACAGGAUUAGAUACCCUGGUA